CUGCAUCUGCGGUGAGUUCCCCGAACUCCGCCCUCUUCCUCUCCGUUGGUUUCUAAUGAAUUUCCGUAGCUGUAGCUGCAGCUGCCCUCACACAGACAUGAAGUUUAUGUUCCUCUGAGGCAGCGGCAGUAGCUGGGAGUUUGAAACUUGAUCGGUAUAGAUAGAAGAUACUAUGGAGACGUGUUUUAUUCUCAGCAUUUGGAUAUUCAAUCUUCUAGAUGCUGCGCUGGGAGAGUCUAUUCAGUCCAACGAACCCGAAGUGUCUGGAUCAGCUGGAGGUUCUGUGACACUCAGCUGUUCUUACACCACCAACAAUAACUAUGUCUAUCUCUACUGGUACCGACAGUACCCAAACCAAGCACCGCAGUACAUUCUCUAUAGAGGAGCGAAAUCCUACAGCAGUAGCAGCCACACUGCAAAUUUCGCCCAGCAGAGAUUUUCGUCCCAGGCUACUGACAGCUCCACGGUUCUGAGCAUCACAGCCCUGGAGCGGGGGGACAGCGCGGUGUAUUACUGUGCCCUGUGGAGAGCACAGUGA